UGUAAAAAGAGAAGUUUUGGGGACACUGAUAUUCAUGAUGAGGCAACAAACUGACAGAUCUUUUCCCUUUUGUUGCAUCCCACACGGUCCUUGUCUUUUCAGCUUGUGAGCUAGCAUCACUCCUAGAGACUCUGUUGCGUGUAUUCAAAUUGACAGAGAGAUUCAAAACAAGACCAAAGAAGCAGCACAACAUCUACAGAACUUCUGUAUGACAGAUGCUGUCAAAUGCCCGUUUUGCCUCAAAGAUUAUUUCAGUUUUCAAAGAAUCGGGGGGAGACGGGUGGAGAGCGGUUCAGGAAAGUUCAACCCAUCUGUUUAAUCUUUGUUUUCCAAUUUUCAUUGUUAAUUUCUAAACCAGGCUUUACACUUAAUUUAAUAAAGUGUUUGGCUUGACUAAUAAGGAUCACUUUUGAUUUUGAUUUUGCAAGAAUAGAGUGAAGACUAGUACAAAGAAAAUUCAUUGUAUAAACAUCCUGUCCAAGAAAAGAAGAUUUGCCCAUACUCCAUCUACAGGAUUUAGUCCUUUGUAGCCACAUACAGCAUGCGACAGAACAAUUUGGAAAAGAUUCAUCUAUCAAGUUUAACAACUUUCUGGUGUAACUUCAGAGAGGUUUAUUGCUUAUUCAUGUGGAAGACUGACCCUGAACCUUCCAGGCCCUGGAAGAUUUUCUGUCCUCAGGGAAUGUGAGGAAGUGUGGAAACAAAGGGAGAGGCUGGAAGUAUUUCUCCAGGAAGAAAAGAUGUAAAUAUUCUUGUAUAUUGGCUGACAUUUUUUAAAGAUUUUGUUAAGUAGUACGGUUUUAUUACUUCUACUUAGUAGAAAAACAAGUCUUCCUAGGAUCACAGUUGUUAUACAUUUCCUCAGAUUAUCUUAGUUGGAAACCUCAUUUGAGAUAAGACAUUCUUCUUUUCAGCAGUAUAGCUCCUGUUAAGUUAUUAUAGAAUUAAGGAUAUGAUGAUUUCAUUGCUAACAAACAGUAAAAUAUAAUCCAAUGUUUUCACCACAUUCAAAAUGCCAUAGAACUGCUGAUGGAAGCGUGUUAUUCUUGCUUCUAGAUAAAGAACGUCAGAAAAGGUUGUUUAACAUGAAAAUUCACCUUUCCCAAUUAUAUGUAUUUUCAACAUCUACAGUGUAUUCAGAGUAUUUUGUGUAGCUUCUCUGCUCUGAAAAAUCCAUGGACAAAUUUUCACAGAGAUAGUUAGAUGACAUAGAUACAGCUAUAUCUGUUUUUCUUUGGGUGAAAGUGGCAGCUGAACAAAGCCUGUUCUUUCAACAAAGCAGCAAAGCAGCAGUAUAGGGCCAGAGAUGGAAGUCCUUCUGCUGUAAAUCCACACCAAUCCAACUAAGACCAAGCACUUGUGAAUAUUAAAUUCACACUAGUGUAGCUGAGAGUAGAAAUGGCCUUUGUUUUUGAAACCCUUGGAGUCCAAAGUGAAAAAAAAAGGAGCAGGGUUUAACCUUUAAACCUUUCACUGACCUUUAAGCAGUACUUUGGAUUAUAUCUGCCCUUGUUAAUCUGAAGCCACUUGCAAACAUAACUGGCAUUCCUGUUUUUUAAGUAUACUUUAUGUACAUUAUAGAAUGGGUUAGCAAUUGAAAAGUUUGGCUUCUGCUCAUUGUGUCUUUAUCACCUUUUAAAGUGAUGCUUAUCUUUGUAAACAAAAUUUCAUAGUAAGCGGCAACACAAGAAAUGCUUUCUGUUGAAGUGUGCCAUGUAAGUGAUGGCCAGGCAUAGAUCCGUACUCUUGGAGGUGCAAACCUAUAUGUUGUUCAAGAGAUGAAAUGUUGUAGAAUUCCUGUAUUAAUGUAGAAUUCAACAAAGACCAGCUUUGCUAGCACCUCUUUCUAUCACAGGUGAGUAGAAACUUCUGCAACAUCUGACCAGACCAUUAUUUUUCCUUCUUUGGCUUUUCUUCUUUCUUUCACACUAUUCACAUCACUGGUUUGCAUGCACUUUUUUAUCAUAUACCUUUUUCCAUACAUAUCUUCAUUUUGGUCUAUUAAAUCCAAACUACAGGUACAAAUGACAUAAAAUGAAUUUAUCUUGGGCAAGAUCUCACUGUUCUCAUAAUCUAAACAGAGUUUAAUUAACACUAGAAACAUCUAAUUCUUGUUAUAAAUAAAAUAGUCUAAAACUGGUGAUUGUAAUUUCCCCUUUUCAUUCACACAAUGAUUGCAAAAUGUCUUGCCAUUCACAUGGAAAUUUUUCUUCUAAGUACAUCUGUCUUUAGUGGAAAAAUGUCAUGGGCAGAGCACAAAUUUAUAGAGGAUAUAUAUGUUUGAGAAAUAGCAGCUAUUUCAUAUUCUGUGUCCAUCAUUUGAAUCAAGAAUUUUCCUGCUGGAUUGUUACAAUAACAGAGAGGAAGUGAUGCACUGCCCCUUAAAUUCAAGCUACUCUUCAAGUGCAGAAAUACUGGCCUUAGAAAUUGACAAAAUUACAAACAAGUUUGCCUUGAAGUAUGAAAUGCUGGAAAUUGCUGAGACCACCUAGCAUAACAGAGAUAUUCAGGCUGAAUCAGUGUGAGAAACACCAUUGUAGGUGUAGAAAGAUAAAUGUAUGGGAUUUGUUUCCCUGUAAAGUUUACCAGGACUUGACAUUGUAAAGACAUUGAGUGUCAUAGGCUUUUAAAGAAAGAAAGAGUUGAUAAGCAGAGAGCAAAUACUGAAAGGUCUUGUGAUGUAGCUGGUGAAAAGCACCUGUUUUCUAUUGUGGAUAUUUAUUUGAAUAUGAAAAGUACUAUAUAUUUUUUUAUCAUCUCCACAUCUCUUGCUAUUGCAUGUUGGAGAAUGACUAAAUCUCUGGAGAGGGAUCAGAUCUGUAAAAGUUGUCAGUUGUUAAGACAAGGUAUUCAGUGAAUAAAUGAAUUAUUGUACUGAAGUCCUUUAUUGAAUAUUCUUGUGUCACUGCUUUAGUUAAGUAUCAAGAACACAGGCAUUUAACAAUAUUACUUUAAAUUCAAAAUGCCUUGAAAGUACCGAGAUUCAAUUUGCAAAUGUAACCAAGAAUAAAACAUGUGCCUUGGAUUACAUGUCACUUCUUGGGAUGUUUUGACAUAACACAUUUAGAAAUUCUUUCCUGUGACAGAAAUGAUUAAAAUAAAUUCCAGUUAUCUAUGACUUGUAAUAGUCCAGUUCUUGGUUAGUUUGUUCUCUGCAUCACAGCAAGCUCCAGCUGACAUGCUCACUUGUGUACCAGUGUGGAGGCCAACUGCUUAAGGCUAAAGUGCUAUUGUGUUCCUUGUGUGAAUAAUCCUGUUAGCAGCAAGGGAACACAGGCAUGGAAAAAGCAGAAAAUGGUCAGCAGUGAGAAAAUAACCUGACUUCCUUCUCUUUUCUAGAGAUGAUCUGUACAGUAUUUUUAGACAGAUCUCUUGUGUGAUGGUACCAACGUCUUCAAAGACUGCAUCUUUUUAUCUCCUCUCAGGGGUACCAAAAUCACACCAGCUCUUCUAUAUGUGUUCACAUGGGCACACUUAGAAAAGUAGAUAAGCAAAUCCAUUCAAUAACCUGUACUCUUCAUCUUCAAAAUACUGGUACCGAUAUAGAAAAUAUAAGGAUACACAGGGAGCUACUUUUCUCUAUGUCUUUCAUGAAAACACACUUACUCUAGAAAUUCAGUAUAUAAGGACCACAGACCAUUGUUCCCAAAGAGCAAGCAUGUCAUAAUGGAAAAUAUACACCAGAAAUUUAGUAUUAAAUCUACUUUAUUGAAUAUAAUUAAAUUAAUUGCAGUUUCUCAAUAUCAAAUUUUAGUAUUACAUGUAGUAUAACAUUGAAAAAAAGUAAUUCAAGUAGACAAUUCCUACUACAGAAUUAUGCUCAAAUUUGCCACUCAUAUGUGUGGAACUUGCAGAAAUCUGAGAAAGACAGCUUUGGGUUUACUAACAAAAUGUCAGAAUUAAACUUAUCCAGGAGGGCAGGUAAGACUGCCUGUAACAUUAUAGUGUGUUAUGUUAAUAGUGACAUUCUCAGAACAGCAUGAUUAGUUCACUGAUCAUAUCACCUGCCCAUCCAUCUAGGCCAGGCAAACACUAAAACCAAAAAAAGAUUGUUGCUUUUUGCCGUGCACCUGUUCUUAGCACAUGAUGAGAGGAUUGUGAAGACAGUGA